CCUACGGGUGACAGCAGUCGAGAAUCAUUCACAAUGGGGGAAACCCUGAUGGUGCGACGCCGCGUGGGGGAAUGAAGGUCUUCGGAUUGUAAACCCCUGUCAUGUGGGAGCAAAUUAAAAAGAUAGUACCACAAGAGGAAGAGACGGCUAACUCUGUGCCAGCAGCCGCGGUAAUACAGAGGUCUCAAGCGUUGUUCGGAAUCACUGGGCGUAAAGCGUGCGGAGGCUGUUUCGUAAGCCGUGUGUGAAAGGCGCGGGCUAAAACCGAGAACGGCACAUGAUACUGCGAGACUAGAGUAAUGGAGGGGGAACCGGAAUUCUCGGUGUAGCAGUGAAAUGCGUAGAUAUCGAGAGGAACACUCGUGGCGAAGGCGGGUUACUGGACAUUAACUGACGCUGAGGCACGAAGGCCAGGGGAGCGAAAGGGAUUAGAUACCCCAGUAGUC
rnacentral:rRNA from 1 species